rnacentral:snRNA from 1 species
AGCUUUGAGCAGUGGUAGCACCGUCGUCUCUGAGGUUUAACCAAGGCACGAUUGUUACUGAUUGAAAACAUGAGACCAAAUUCC